UGAACGCUAGCGGCAGGCUUAACACAUGCAAGUCGAGGGGCAGCGCGAGUAGCAAUACUUGGCGGCGACCGGCGCAAGGUGCGUAACGCGUGAGCAACAUGCCCGUAUCAGGGGGAUAAUCCAGGGAAACUUGGUCUAAUACCCCAUAGUAAUUUUGUAAGGCAUCUUAUAAGAUUUAAAGCUUUGGUGGAUACGGAUUGGCUCGCGUGACAUUAGCUGGAUGGUAAGGUAACGGCUUACCAUGGCUAUGAUGUCUAGGGGUUCUGAGAGGAAGGUCCCCCACACUGGAACUGAGACACGGUCCAGACUCCUACGGGAGGCAGCAGUGAGGAAUAUUGGACAAUGGAUGGAAAUCUGAUCCAGCCAUGCCGCGUGAAGGAAAGAAGGUCCUAUGGAUUGUAAACUUCUUUUGUAUGGGAGCAAUAAGGCCUACGAGUAGGUUGAUGAGAGUACCAUACGAAUAAGCACCGGCUAACUCCGUGCCAGCAGCGGC
rnacentral:rRNA from 1 species